UNCCGGGGUUGAAAGUUAGUNAUUUGACAGAGCGCUCAAUCCUUCGGACACGAAAUUAGGUGCUGCAUGCCUGUCGUCAGCUCGUCCCGUNAGGUGUUGGGUUAAGUCCCGCAACGAGCGCAACCCUUGUGUUUAGUUGCCAGCAUGUUAAGAUGGGGACUCUAACCAGACUGCCUAUGCAAAUAGAGAGAAAGGAGGGGACGACGUCAAGUCAUCAUGGCCCUUACGUCCGGGGCUACACACGUGCUACAAUGGCAGUACAGAGGCAGCGACCUGGCAACAGGAAGCCAAUCUCAAAAAGCUGUUCACAGUUCGGAUCGGGGUCUGCAACUCGACCCCGUGAAAUUGGAUUCGCUAGUAAUCGCAGAUCAGCAAUGCUGCGGUGAAUACGUUCCCGGGCCUUGUACACACCGCCCGUCAAGCCAUGGAAGCUGGGGGUGCCUGAAGUGCGUAACCGCAAGGAGCGUCCUAGGGUAAAACCGGUAACUGGGGCU
rnacentral:rRNA from 1 species